rnacentral:rRNA from 1 species
GUGAGUAGUUCUAGAGUUUGAUCCUGGCUCAGGACGAACGCUGGUGGCGUGCCUAACACGUGCAAGUCGAACGGGGUAUUUCUUCGGAGAUACUUAGUGGCGAACGGGUGAGUAACGCGUGAGAAACCUGCCUUUCAGUGGGGGACAACAGUUGGAAACGACUGCUAAUACCGCAUAAUGUUAUUUGGGGGCAUCCCUGAAUGACCAAAGAUUUAUUGCUGAAAGAUGGUCUCGCGUCUGAUUAGCUAGUUGGUGAGGUAACGGCUCACCAAGGCGACGAUCAGUAGCCGGUCUGAGAGGAUGAACGGCCACAUUGGGACUGAGAUACGGCCCAG